AGCAGCCGCGGUAAUUCCAGCUCCAAUAGCGUAUAUUAAAGUUGUUGCAGUUAAAAAGCUCGUAGUUGAAUUUCGGGGUUAGUAGGUCGGUCAUGCCUCAGGUAUGCACUGGUCUCACUGAUUCCUCCUUCCUGAUGAGCCGUAAUGCCAUUAAUUUGGUGUUGCGGGGAAUCUGGACUGUUACUUUGAAAAAUUAGAGUGUUUAAAGCAGGCUAACGCUUGAAUACAUUAGCAUGGAAUAAUGGAAUAGGACGUUCGAUCCUAUUUUGUUGGUUUCUAGGAUUGACGUAAUGAUUAAUAGGGAUAGUUGGGGGCAUUAGUAUUCUAAUUGU
rnacentral:rRNA from 1 species